CUGAGCUAAUUAACCGAGUUGGCUACAGUAUGGGUAGUCAAGCAAUUGUUUCAUCCUUUCUUGAAGGCUGUUAGCUCUGCUAGGAGAGAGAAGAGGUCCCAGUGCCAUACUCAGCCUUAGGGAACUGCAGCGAGGGUAACUCUCAAAAAUGCUUCCACCACAUCAAAGCUUCUAUAGCAACAAUUAGAAACAAAAUCAAGGGAAUAAGAAAGACAAACUAAGAAAUACUAGGUUUUGUUUUGUUUUGUUUUUUCUUGCCACGCAGCAAAGGGGGUGGAAUUUUGGGCAAAACUGACCGCGUUGUUCUCCGAGAUAUUUAGAAAUCAGAUCUUCCAGAGACAGCGCGUUCAUGGAGUGGGGCACAGAGGCCAGAGCGUCCGCCUCUCCGCCUCGCCUUCUCACAGGUCCUGCCCGGGCUCGCGGGCUGCAGAGCUGAACGCCGGGCCUGCGCCUCGCCCGGGACUCGCGCCAGACAUCAGGAGAAAUGGCAACAACUAGAAGAGCUGCAUUGGACCUAGACACGGAACUGCACAUUAAGGAUUGUUGCGCCAACCCGGCAACCUAGUCUCUGGAUGAACACACAGAGCAGACGUUUGCUUCUGGAUUG
rnacentral:lncRNA from 1 species